rnacentral:rRNA from 1 species
UAGGGAAUCUUCGGCAAUGGACGGAAGUCUGACCGAGCAACGCCGCGUGAGUGAAGGAGGUUUUCGGAUCGUAAAGCUCUGUUGUAAGAGAAGAACGAGUGUGAGAGUGGAAAGUUCACACUGUGACGGUAUCUUACCAGAAAGGGACGGCUAACUACGUGCCAGCAGCCGCGGUAAUACGUAGGUCCCGAGCGUUGUCCGGAUUUAUUGGGCGUAAAGCGAGCGCAGGCGGUUAGAUAAGUCUGAAGUUAAAGGCUGUGGCUUAACCAUAGUACGCUUUGGAAACUGUUUAACUUGAGUGCAAGAGGGGAGAGUGGAAUUCCAUGUGUAGCGGUGAAAUGCGUAGAUAUAUGGAGGAACACCGGUGGCGAAAGCGGCUCUCUGGCUUGUAACUGACGCUGAGGCUCGAAAGCGUGGGGAGCAAACAGGAUUAGAUACCCUGGUAGUCCACGCCGUAACGAUGAGUGCUAGGUGUUAGACCCUUUCCGGGGUUUAGUGCCGCAGCUAACGCAUUAAGCACUCCGCCUGGGGAGUACGACCGCAAGGUU